rnacentral:rRNA from 1 species
AUGCACGCUGGCGGCGUGCCUCAUACAUGCAAGUCGAGCGCACGGACGAGAAGCUUGCUUUUCUGAUGUUAGCGGCGGACGGGUGAGUAACACGUGGAUAACCUACCUAUAAGACUGGGAUAACUUCGGGAAACCGGAGCUAAUACCGGAUAAUAUUUUGAACCGCAUGGUUCAAAAGUGAAAGACGGUCUUGCUGUCACUUAUAGAUGGAUCCGCGCUGCAUUAGCUAGUUGGUAAGGUAACGGCUUACCAAGGCAACGAUGCAUAGCCGACCUGAGAGGGUGAUCGGCCACACUGGAACUGAGACACGGUCCAGACUCCUACGGGAGGCAGCAGUAGGGAAUCUUCCGCAAUGGGCGAAAGCCUGACGGAGCAACGCCGCGUGAGUGAUGAAGGUCUUCGGAUCGUAAAACUCUGUUAUUAGGGAAGAACAUAUGUGUAAGUAACUGUGCACAUCUUGACGGUACCUAAUCAGAAAGCCACGGCUAACUACGUG